UGUUUGCAUUUCCCACAUACAUUUGUUAAAAUAAUUAACAUUUUCUAUAAUAAUAAAUACGCUUCUACUAUCCAAAUUCGAUUCUCAUUUAUUAAUAUAUUAUUAUAGUUUUAAAUAUAUUCUUAACAACCAUAAAUCUAAUAUCAAUAUUCUAUCAUCAUCACUGAAUAUCAGUGAGCAAUGUGGACCGGAAGCUAUCCAGACUCAAAAGUCUGCGCACACCUAUGGCAUAAUACUCAACACAUAGAAAAUUUUUGGACAAUUAAUCGGAACAUUUCUAGUAUUGAUUAGAUUAUGAUUGGUGGUUGAUAAUGUAUUUUUAACAAAGAAAAUUCUUUAUAAUCUCUUUGUGCGUGUCAAAAAAGUAUUAUUUUAAGAAGGAACUUUUCUGAUCAUCAUUUUUACGAUUUGUGCUUGAAGAAUACAUUGGAAAUUUUAAUUCAAUCUAGUCGACACUAAGCAUAGUCAAAAAUAAUUUUUGACUUUGGCAUUAAUUCUCCUCUUGGUCAGCAACUCAAUUGCCCGACCCGAAAAAUUUACAAGUACGUUAUCAUCCGAAACGAUCAAAAAUAUUCAGGGAACGUUUAAGGAAUCAUUGUCACUGGCAAAAAAAAAAUCAUUCAGAUGAUAAAUUAUCGCUCGUUCAUCUUAUACUGAUUAUUGGUAAAGUACUAGCUCCUAUAGUGGGAGCUAUCAUUGAACCAUUACUCGUUAAUAUAGCCAAAUGUAACACAUGGGUCAUCACUUAUUCUUUAGCCACAGGAUUUGCCAAACCGCUAGGUUAUGAACACUUCAUCCCAGAACUUGAAAACUCCGAACAUGGUCAUAAAUUUCCAAUUGCAUAUUCAGCUCUAAAAGAGCUACCCCAAUUUGCGUUUGACCUUACUAACGGGUUAGUAACGGAUGACUCGCAAUCUUCAGCUCAAACAGAAGUCUUCGAAAACGUCGAAAAAAAUUGCAUGGCUUAAAAUUGGACAAAACAAACAAGAAAUAUUAAAAAUACGCAAAUUUAAUUGUAUAACCUUUUGCUUCUAUAUUAUAGAAAAUUUACU